rnacentral:rRNA from 1 species
AUCUGAUUAGCUAGUUGGUAGGGUAAAAGCCUACCAAGGCGACGAUCAGUAGCUGGUCUGAGAGGACGACCAGCCACACUGGAACUGAGACACGGUCCAGACUCCUACGGGAGGCAGCAGUGGGGAAUUUUGGACAAUGGGGGCAACCCUGAUCCAGCAAUGCCGCGUGAGUGAAGAAGGCCCUCGGGUUGUAAAGCUCUUUGUCAGGGAAGAAACGGUGAUCUCUAAUAUAGAUGCUAAUGACGGUACUGAAGA